rnacentral:rRNA from 1 species
CUUGGUCAUUUAGAGGAAGUAAAAGCCGUAACAAGGUUUCCGUAGGUGAACCUGCGGAAGGAUCAUUACAAGUGAGGCUACCGAACGUUGGAAACAGCGGUUAGGAGCUUACACCCACCCGUGUUUACAUACUAUUGUUGCUUUGGCGGGCCGUGGCCUCCACUGCGGGCUCUGCUCGUGUGUGCCCGCCAGAGAACCAAACUCUGAAUGUUAGUGAUGUCUGAGUACUAUCUAAUAGUUAAAACUUUCAACAACGGAUCUCUUGGUUCUGGCAUCGAUGAAGAACGCAGCGAAAUGCGAUAAGUAAUGUGAAUUGCAGAAUUCAGUGAAUCAUCGAAUCUUUGAACGCACAUUGCGCCCUGUGGUAUUCCGCAGGGCAUGCCUGUUCGAGCGUCAUUUAACCACUCACGCCUAGCGUGGUAUUGGGGCACGCGGUCUCCGCGGCCCUCAAAAUUAGUGGCGGCGCCGGUGGGCUCUAAGCGUAGUACAUACUCCCGCUAUAGAGUUCCCCCCGGUGGCUCGCCAGAACCCCCAAUUUUUUACAGGUUGACCUCGGAUCAGGUAGGGAUACCCGCUGAACUUAAGCAUAUCAAUAAGCGGAGGA